GGUUCUUACUAUCUCCACAAAUUGUAUCAAUUUGGGGGGGAGAGGGAUCUUUAAGUGACGCAAAUAAACCUCUGCUACCCUAAAAAAAAAGCACCUUUAUUUCCCCCCACAUUUUCCCCUUUCCCUCCUUCCCCAACCCUUCACGCCUUUAACCCCUUUCUCCAGAAACUUUCGCCUUUAACACCUCUCUCUCAGCCCCCCACUUUUAGUAUUCAUCCAGUUUUGUAAACCGGAUUUAGUAAAUCGCAAUGCCAAAGAUUAAACGUUUUCGAAAUCCAUUGAAAUCAGCUCAUGGACCAUAAGAUACUCCUGGACAUUCUUCAUCGUCAACACCUCCAGCGUCGUCACUUGCUAUAGAGCCCUCAACAUCGUUACAAGUUCUCCCGCAUGCUCCUGCAAGUUCCUCAGUAGCUGAUGAAGUCCCACAACAAGAACAAACUCCAACUCAGCCUUCUAAUCCAAAUGCAAUGUCCACACGCCAUCCUGGACGUGAAUCUACACAAUAUUGGGAAGUAGAGGCAAUAGACUCAAACAACACUACCAAGCACAUUAAGAUCAAGGUCAAUGGUCAAUGAAAUCAACAAUCUACCUAUCGGAGAUCACAUCAUUGUGGACUUUGAUAACUACGAUGCAGCAUAUGGAAAAGCGCAAGGGUUGCUUGUCGAAUAUUGUGGAUUACUGGCUAUUGAUGGCAAUUUCUCCCCAAUUAAUUUUGAUAGGUGGUCAGGACCAUCAGGUAUUCAUAAAAUUUAAAAGGAAGACUACUUUGAAACUAUGCUAAAUGUAUUACACAUAUGUCUAUUUAUUGUAACUAGAAUUUUCUGCAUGAAGAGAAAACUAGCUUUGUUUUUCUUUUUCAUUUGAAGCCUCGAUUGUUUUUAGGACUACUAAUGCCAUUGCAUACAGAUGUUGCAAUGCUAGUUUGAAUAAGAAGUGGCCUACACAUAGACAUAGGUUAUGGGAUGAAUUUUAUGAUCCAGCCAAAAGAAGAACUGAACUUUUAAGCAAUGUGCCACCGGGUAUAAAUAGAGAUCAGUGGCUGCUGGUUUUGUUGCUUAUCAUCUAAAAUCAUCAACAAUUGAAAGUUGUAGAAGAAAUAAAGAAAUUCGACGCAAACAAACAAUGCCUCACACUGGCGCUUCCAAAGCUAACUCGAGACGACGACAUGAGUUGUUUUGGAAACUGGAAAAAAUCCUACUCGGGGAAAGGUAUUUAUCGAAACUCAUAAGAGAAGGGAUGUAUCAUUUGUAAAUGAUGAGGCAAGGACUAUAGUGGAACAAAUUGAAUUGACUCAAGGCAAUACCAAUGAAUCUGAAAUUUUCCCAGAUGAUAUUAUUGGCAAGGUGUUAGGGGCAGAGCAUUCAGGGAGGGUACGAUGUAUGGGUAUGGGAGCAGCUCCUUCAAAGACAUUCAAGAAUAUCAAGCAAUGACUUAAUGAGCUUAAUCAUUCUUCAUCUAGCUUCGGCGCAUCAUCUGCAACUUUCACCUAUUUGCAACAAGAGGUCAUUCAUUUGAAGUCCCAAUUAGCAGACACCUUAACUGCAUUGAAAGCUUACAUGAUAUCAAAGGAAGGAAGAGUUCCUGAGCAAUUUGCUGGUCUGUUUGCUCCUCAACCACAACCUAGUGAUGAUGAAGAAAGUGAACCUACUUCACCGGUGGAUGUAAGAAGAUCAUCGGGCAGCAGGGACGAGAAUCGCCAAGCAAAUAUUUAGAAUUUUAUUUAUUUAAUGUGGAACUACUUUUGCUUUUAUGGAUUUUAAGUAGUAAUAUUUAGGAACUACUUUAGUUUAUAUUGCUUUGGUAUGAUUUGUAGUACUUGAAGUUGUGACUGUUACUAUUGUGGAUGUUUUAAUAAAAUUUGAUUUCUGCUA